GGCACAUCAGGUUUUCUUUCUUUUCCCUUCUCUAUGAUCUCUUUUGUUCUUUCUCCCUCCACUCACUAGCAGUUUUUCUUUAAAUUGGCCAUAAACAUCUGUAUUGACAGUUGAACCUUUUUUGCUGAAGCAUGCGGUAAUAAUCUACUAACUGAUGUACUGUGAUAUGAAGUAUGGAAACAGAAAUUCUGAGAAAAUAGCAUAUGCAAAUUGCUUGUGCCAAUUCAUUCUGCAAUAACAAGUUAUCGCUGUU
rnacentral:misc_RNA from 1 species